GAGGGAGCAGAGGCAGAGGAGGUGCGUGGCAGUCCAAGAAGCACCGGCUGCCCCUUCGCUCUCUCAGUUCCCCUACCGCCGGGUCAUUGAUUUCUCCUUCCCUUCUUUUCCUCGUUGUCCCGGGAUAAGGUUACAGUCAUCGAUGUGAUGAUUUAUUUAAUGUUGGAAAAUUUAAUUCUCGAAAAAAAAUCCUGGGACUCUCCGGCUACCAAUCCAAGAGAGGCGCAAGCUAUUCCGGCAGUCUGAAGGCGCUGCUGGCCUUUCCACGACAGCCACACACCCCCCCCCCCACCCCUUCAACGCAGGCGGACAUGAGCAACAGCUGGCACAUGGCACCAGGAAAGACACAUGGCGGGCCCAGAGCCAGGUACAGUUAGUUGAGAGAGACCUGGCCUAGGUUAGCAACAGAUAGUGAGGAUUCAAAUCUCCAUGAAGAACUAAAGAUUCCACAUUAAUGUAAGUCACAUGAAAGGUAAAGGGGAUUGGUAAACAGGAACCAAACACAUUCAAAUAUUACCCAGAGCAGCGGCCGAGUUUGAAUAAUGUGUUGGUAUUUGAUGAAUGUUGGAAAAAUAAAUAAAAGUUGACUCACUU